rnacentral:rRNA from 1 species
ACGAACGCUGGCGGCAGGCCUAACACAUGCAAGUCGAGCGCUACCUUCGGGUGGAGCGGCGGACGGGUUAGUAACGCGUGGGAAUAUACCCUUCACUAUGGAAUAGCCUCGGGAAACUGAGAGUAAUACCAUAUACGCCCUUCGGGGGAAAGAUUUAUCGGUGAAGGAUUAGCCCGCGUAAGAUUAGAUAGUUGGUGGGUAAUGGCCUACCAAGUCUACGAUCUUUAGCUGGUUUUAGAGGAUGAUCAGCAACACUGGGACUGAGACACGGCCCAGACUCCUACGGGAGGCAGCAGUGGGGAAUCUUAG